UUUUUCUUUUCUUUUCUUUUUUUUUCUAUUUAAAUUUAAAAAAUUUAACCUUCUUUUAAUAAUGAUUUGUAUUUUUUCCAUUAUAGCUGGUUUACAGUGUUCUGUCAGUUUCCUACUGCACAGCGAGGUGACCCAGUCACAGAUACAUGUAUACAAUCCCUUUUUCUCACAUUAUCCUGCUCCAUCAUAAGUGACUAGAUAUAGUUCCCAGGACUGUACAGCAGGAUCUCACUGCUUACACGUUUUUCUAAUGAUGGGGAAAUAAUUCCACCUUCCCAAGCCUCAAGUCUCCAUCUGGAAAGUAAGGAUUUUCGUGGGAGGAUUUAAACAUGAAGCACGUAGCCCGUGAUGCCACAUGUGAAGGGGCUCAAUAACUGUCAGCUCCUCGUCCACUCCUGCCUGUUCCCAGGUGAUGUCCAGGUUACACACGGGCCAGGGGCUGGCUCAGGGAACUGGGGGCAUGGGGGGCGGGGGGCACUGGCUGCAAAAAGCCUUAGAGGAGAAGGCAAGGGCUGAAUUCAGAAUUCACUUCCAUACAGCCACCCCAAGAUAAGAUGGUCAGACUGGCAUCUAAAGGGAGACUGGUGGUCCACUCGGACCACCGGAAAACAACUACUGCCUAAGCCCCACAGGAGAAAUCUUAAGGUAACUCAUCACCAGUGGGGAAGGAGGGCUCACGCCACUCGCGAGGCGUCAUAACUACUGAACCUCACAGUGAUCCUGUGAGACAGGCUCCGUUAAGCCUCUUGCGCAGGAGAGGAAACGGAGGCUCGGAGUGCCCAAGCAACGGACCUGCCAUCACACAGCAGAGCUGACCGUGGGGACACAGGGCUGGCUUCACUCGCUCCUGGAGGGUGACCAGCUGUCCAAUUUUCCCAGGACUUGAGACUCCCAGUUUUAAAAUGAGGACAGUCCUGGGCAAAGAGGGGUGAGCUGGUCAACCCUACCCAGAGCUGUGCCCUUCAGCCUCCACGUUGAGCACGCGCUGAACAAGGGCAGGUUUGCGAGAAAACGCCACCAGUGGCCGGAGCAGGCUGCCUGCCUGGGAGAGCCACGGCCCAUGACAUCCUUCACACGCAGCUAAGGACGGGGACAGGGGGACAGGGUGCGACGGAGGUACAGCAAAGAUAAGCCGAUUACCUGGCAUCUUGGGGACAGUGAAGGCUCCACACAGCCUGGGGACUGGCCCUGCCCUGAGGCCUACUCUGGAAUGGAAACUUCUAAAUACCGAUCACAUAACCAGAAGCGGUUUUCUGGCCUGCUUUUUGUUUUUGUUUUGCUUUUUUUUCAUUUGAACAAUAGGUAAUCAGAAUGUGCUGGGUCAGUGACAUACUGUCAUAAUUUGCCAAACAAAGCAAGGGGAACACGAUCCCAGCGGUAAUGCUUUGCAUUUCUUACGAGGGCGAGUCCUGGGCGUGACUUCAUUUUCCAGAGCUGCUGGCGGUGUCCCUGUCUCCCUCCUCAUCACCCCACCCCCAGCACGAUGCUCCAGUGCCUGGCAUGUGAGAGGCCCAGGGCAGUGGGCGAAUGAGCUGAGGUCUCUGUUCCGCAGUGACUAAGGCACCCCCAGGCCACCCAAGCUGAUCCUCUGUGGCUGUGUCACCUCCCCAGCCAUCGAUCCCAUGGAUCCUGUGCUCAGGACUGUCCUAAACGCUCCACACAUAAGCUGACCGCGUCCUCUACUGACCAACCCAGGACACUCUGGGGGACAAAAUGAAAUGGGGCACAACUGAGAAUGACCCCAGGACGACACGUGUUAACAGGGAUUGUCGCAGGCAAAACAGCCCAGGGGUCAGGCUGUUGAAGUACCUAAAGUGACAGCUCGGAGGGAACAGGCCCAGGCUCCGGGCCACAGCCUCUGGGCGAAAGCCCAGCCCUGCCACCUACCAGCUGUGUGAGUGACCUAACCUCUCCCAGCCUCGGUUUCCUCACCUGCACAACGGGGCUGGGUAGUAGCGGCUCCUAGGGCUCCGGCGAAGACCACGCUGCUCCUGUUAGCAUCUGCAAAGCCUGCAUAUGGGACCUAGCAUGUGGGAGGUGCACUACACAUAAUAGAAUAUUUUAUUUAAUAACAGACAACAAAAUUCUCCUAUCGCCCCCAGGGGAUUACUAGAAUCAUCGCUGUUUCACAAAUAAGGAAACCAAGGCACAGAGGGGUUCCGUAACCGCUGAAGUUCGUGGCAGAGUGGACGCGAACCUAAGACCCAGGCCCCGUCCUAGGGCACCAGCAGUCCUGGCUCUGGCCCCACUCCACCCCACCUCCGACACUGGGGAGUGGGACACUGCCUCUCCCCAUCUCAGCAUUUAGGACACAGGUCAAGUAAAGGUGCAGAAAGAACAGAAUCCACACGUGGCACAUGGCACUGCCAGAGCUCACCCUCAGGCCCAAGAGGCGGCCGACUUAGAGGCUGUGUGGCAUUUGCGAAUUCCAGAGGCACCAGUCCCAUAGGAAGGGCACUGCUGCCUAGGUCACAAGCCAGCGUUCUCCUUUUCCCCUCUAGCCAAGUUACUCGAUCUCAGAAAUUCCUUUGCAAGAGACAAGACUGAAAUGCAAUCUCCAACCCUGUCGGGCCCAGUGGAAUUUCACCAACACAAAUUGCCGAGUUCUCCAGGAAAACGGAGGAAGCCUGCCUGAAGUUUCAGAUUCUUGGUAGGUCUUAGAAAGCUCCAGCACUCGAGUGGCUCCUGGAAGCGGCAGGAAGUGGUUUGCCUUUGCUUAUUUUCCAAAGGAUAACCACCAGAUUUGCUCAUAAAAACUUUGUAACCAACUGGCAAAGGACACCUGUGCAAUCAAGUGAUUUCUCAGUUCCUUGGGGCUUUCUUUUGUUAAUUCAAUUCAAAGAAGUAGUGCUCAGGGCUGGACAAAGUGCUCAGCACACAGAAAAACAAGAGGGAGAAAAAGAGAGGGGGGAGGGAAAGGGGGGAGGGGAGGGAAAGGGGGGAGGGCAGCAGAGCAUCUUGAUGAAGAACCAAAAUUCACCAAAAGCAAAGUUACAAGGUCAGGGAAAGCCCACGGCUCUGGGAGCAGCAGUGCUCGGGCAGCACCAGCCAUCAGCUGGAACAAAGGGCCAGGCCUGGAGCUGGCAGCACACGGGAGGGAGGGAGAGAGGGAGGAGGCACGGAGACCAGGAGCGGCCGGUGACGGCUGAGUGCAGAGGGAGGACCUGGGCCCUGGCUCCUGGCUGGGAACGUCUGGAGAGGGAAAGAGUGGAUACGGGGGUGAGCCAAGCAAGGCGCAGAGACAGGUAAAGGUGCCGGUGGCCCAGGGCGGAGGCCAAGGACGCUGGGGUCUUGGCUCGAAGUCUGGGUACUUCUGAUGAGGCCAAUUCAGGAGAGUCUCGCCCAGGCCCACAAGCCCAGGCUUGAAACUGGGCAGGGCUGGGAGCCGCUGACGGUCAGACGCAGAAGCCCAGCGGGGUGGGGGCGGGCAGAUGAGCUGGAAGGGAGGCGAGGGACAAGUGCCUGGAAGAGAAGGGCCAGAGGAGGAAAUGCGUUUCCUGCCAGGAACACGUGGGAGGCCUCCGGUCCAGUCACUCUGCUCCCCGGGGAUGCGUCCUGUCCCCAGCCCAGUGCAGCCUGGAGGAGCCCAGAUUCCUGGGGUGCGGACCAGCCCAGAAGAUGGGCGGGAAGGGAGCCCAGUGGGGGCUCUGGCAGAGGGAAGAGCUCUGGGGCUCCAGGCCCCCCACAGAGCCAGCAAGCGGGUGAGCAGGGGUGGCCGAGGCAGGCGAGUCCAGACCCGUAGAUUCACUUCCCUCUCCAGCGGACUGAGAGUGAGGAAAUGGAGAACAAUCUGGAAGGGGCUCUGGGAAAGGGAGCUGGAGCCUGGGACUUGAGAUGGAGACUGAGGGCCCAUGUGAGCGUGUACGUAUGUGUGUGUGAGUGGUGUGCGUGUGCAGACACAAGCCUGUUCUCCAGCACCUGAGUCCUUCCGCGCACAUGGAGGUUGUGCACCCAUGACCUGGAGAACGUGGUCUCGUGUGCACACUGAGAAGGUGUACCCACGCCUGCACGCAUUUACACGGUGAGCCCGGCGCAGGCCCACACACCUUCACGGGCACGGCAUCAGAUCGGGUUCAGAGCCGUGGAGGGGGACUGAAUCUUGGCCUACACUGCACGGACGUGUGGCCUUGAGCAAGUGACCUAAGUUCUCCAGGGCUGUUUGCUCAUCUGGACGAUGGGCUAAUAGAAGUGGGCGUCUCAGUGUCGUUAGCGGGUGAAACGAAUUCGCAGUUGUAAAGCACGUAGAUGGGCCUGAGCAAACGCUACAUACAUGUGUGUGGUGAAGAAAUAAACCCUUGCCUGCAGAUGAGCGCUUACACAGCUAGGCGUGGACACCUGGGGACACCCGAGAGGUGUGCCCAGUGGAGGAAGGACACAUAAGGGCAACUGCACACGCGGGCAAGGAGACGCUUGGUGUGCAGGCAUGUGCCAUUCUGGAACACGUGUGCUACCUGUACCCACGAUGCCCGAUGCCCAAGGGAGGAAGUGUGUGCGACGGCCCAAGACACCCUGGGCCGUCACCAGUGGCCAGAUGCCCAGAAGGACCCCUUGGGCCAACUGGCAGUGGGGGAAGGUAACCCAUGCCAUCAAGGCCGGCGACAAGGACCACAUCCGCUUCAACCUGGUGCCUCAGCAAGUUUUACAGGAGGGUCGGAAAGGGGGAGCGCGAGCAGGGGAGGGACAGAGACACGACGGUACGCGGGCCACCCACUGGACACACACGCAUUAUUUCCUUUAACCCUCCCGGCAGCCCUGGGAGGAGUGGCACCCUCGUUUUCUCCGAUGAGGAAACAGAUGAAGUAAUUUGCCCAGAGACCCUCGGCUUUGUCUCUGUGGCUGCCCCCUCCACCGCUGCGCUGUUCUGAGAAUGAAUGAGCGAACACACGGGCAGGGAUGAAUGAACAGAGAACAAUGGCAAGGAAACCGAAACUUAGUGUCCAGAGGAGCCACAGCAAAGGGAAGCACUGGCCUAGCAGGCACAUGCCACACUUGAGAAGGACCCACGUGGCAGAGGGUAGGCGGAGGCUCCCAGGCCAGGCUCCACCAGCCCAGAGCCAAGGCAGGCCUGGCAUCUCCAUGACGGGGCCUCAGUGUAAAUUCUGAAAACUGGUGUCCGUGCCACUCACCUCCCCUGGGGUUUGAGGUGAGCCAGGUGCCAGCUACCCAGCCCCCCAGGGGCUGGGACAUCGCGGGGAGGAUGUGCUAUCACGUGACUUCUCAAAGUGCGCUGUGCAGAGUUCAAGCCAAUGACAGCGAGAGGAAGUCCCCUUGUCCCCGGAGACCCUUCCAGAAGCUGCCAGCUGGGUUCAGGGGCUCUGUGGAAAUGGUCCCUUAGGCCCCCAGCCUACCACACUUAGCAGUGCUGACUUCAGGUGGCCCUGGACAAGUGGCUCAACCUGGCGGGGCCCCAAGCUCUUCCAUGGGGGCAAGGAUCGAUCCCCCAGUAGGGGUUGGGGUGGGAGGCCCCACACGGGGCUGAGAGCAGAGCUCAUGAGACACGUGGCAGGUCCUCCCACGGGAGGCCAUUCUUAUAAAUGGCAACCAUCCAGGGGCUCCGGACACCCCUUAAAGGGUCCAGCACCCAGUACAUCCGUGAUCUACUUUCAGGGCCUUGUCCAACUCCCAGCUCACCUGCCACUACGGGAGCAGGUGGCCCCAGGCACUGCUUCCAACGGGUGCUGGUUUCUCCCUCCUACACCUGCUGCUCGCCCCUGCCCGCCUCUCUGUUUAACAGAAUGUUCUUCUUGGGCUCUGACCAUUUUCACUGAGAGUGCUGGUUUUCAAACUGCGUCCCCUGGAGCCUCUGAAUGGGUCCCGGGGGUCCCUGUGGGGCUGACCUUCACCUCGACCUGGACAGUACGGCCUUAUGAACCUUCUCUUGUGAGGAAGAGCCCUGAGGCUGAAAUCACACAAAGGUUUAUUACCCAACUGCACAUCAUAAAACCCUUUCUUGCAGAAGCCCUGCACCCCCCCCCCACAUGCAUCCAUUCAUUUUACUCAUUUAUCCAUUUCCUGUCAGUCUCCCUCAACUAGUACGGACCACGAAGGCAUCGGGGGUGGGGGUGGGGGGGUUGUUGUUUGUUUUGUUCAUGUCUGUAUCCAGAGCACAACAGUAGGCCCAAUAAAUAUUGACUUUAUUUUAUAAUGAACUAAAUGUAAUGAUUAGUACCAAUAACCACAGCACUGACUAGGGGCCAGGCUCUGUUAACACCUGUUACGUGUGUUCACUCACCCAGGGCCCACACCGACCCUGGAAGGAAGGUCCCACCGUUCUCCCCAAUUUACAGAAGAAAGAACUGAGACACAGCUGAGCUCACUACCCCGGAUUUGCAGCAUCUUGCAGCCCUUACCUCCAGUCCCUGGCUCUCCCACUCCCCGGGCCUGGAACAGGACCCUGCUCCCUUCGCUCCUCUCCUCAUCAGUCACGUCUCAGAGCUGGGGGGGUGGAGGGGGGAAUGCAGAAAACUACCUUUUACAUUUGUAUGUGCCCACUUCCAAGACGAGAAGACUGAGGACUGAGAACUCCCUUUCUAAGUCGGGGAAUAGGGUAGAAAGGAAAUAGACAAGAGUGGGCUUGGUGAGUGGGGCUAACCAACGUUCCAAGAAGGAUGGGCGCCUGCCGCUGAGGACCAGGGAGGGCUUCCCGGAGGCGACAGCUCAAGGAUGUCAGGUUGGAGCUCGGUCUCCUCCGUGAGUGAGGGCUCCAGGUCAAAGCCUCCAAGUGGCAGCUGCUGAUGGCUCUGGGGUCUCAGCCACAAAAGGAGAAGGAAGAGGGGCCCAGGAUAUCUCGGACGAGGUACACAGCUACCCAACCCCCAACAAGCAGGUCUGUGCUUCCAUCAGCCUAUGGUUGGUCAGCAGUGGCGAGUAAGGCUCUGGCCACAGCCCGUGAGCGGGCAGAGGCACGGCGGCAGGGGAGGAGCGCACAGCAAGCUUCCCACCGUCCCCGCCGUGCAGACCGCACCCCAGCAGCCAAGCGGCCAGUCCCAUCCUUCCCUGGACGCCAGGGCGGAAAUCCGUAACUUCCCUCCUCGCGGGAAAUGGAGCGACGGCCGGGCUGGGUCCGUCUGUUGUUCUCCCCAAGGUCCCUCCACCGCCCAUCCAGGCAGGCAGCUCCUUUUUCAGCCCCGGCCCAGGCCCCUCACGGGAGCCUCGCUCCUCAGGUCUGCCUGGCUCCCACCCAGCACUGUGCCCACCCUGCCUGGGCACACCCCUGGGUUCCUUCCCACCUCCCCCAGGUCAGGAAGCUCCCAUCUGACCACCAGUGUCCAUGCCUCCUAAGACCCUGUGUUAUGGU
rnacentral:lncRNA from 1 species